GAAUAGACAAUCUAAUCAUCAUCACUUUCUCUAUGAAACUUAUUUGGAGUAUUUCCCUAGAGAUCAUGAAACAAUGAAAAUGUGUUUUUUUUUUUCCACUCACAAUGGAAAUGUGAAGAUAUUAUUAGGAAACUUGCCUUAGAAGAUAAAUUUCUCUCUCAAGGAAUAUUACUGAUGUUCAAUCCGAGGUGUCUUGAACCGAGGUUGCAGUCAGAUAGUCCUGCCAAGUGCCAACUGGUGAUGCCGAGGUGGAAGGACAAAGCCACGCAGCAAGUUUUAAACCAAGAAAAGAGAUUAGAGGCCCGAGGAGUGAUUCCACGAGUAGACACUCCGACACUCAUGUUAGUAAGGAAAGAUGGGUGGUCGGGCCGAGCAGUUGAGGCUAAUGUUAGUCUGAGCAGUAUAAUAGUGUGGAGGUUGAAGAGUCAAAAGUUCCUUACCUUGAGCGAGGGUUACCUAUUUAUAGCCGAGGAUCCUUGUCCUAUUUGGAUGAGGUUUUCGGGGUUGUCGUGGAUGAGGUUGUCUGUCAAGGUCUUCGGGAUAAGUCAUAAUCCCUGGUAGAGUUGUCCUUAUCCGUACACUACUCUCCUUUCUUGGUUGCGCUUAUCCAUCCUACGUGGUGCUGACGUGGCCGAAGAGAUAAGACGGCCACAGAGGUGACACGUGGCACUCGGGGCUAGCUCUGAGGUCUGAGGUCUUCGGUUGAGGAACUCUUUGAAGUGUAUUUUUCCGAGUUGGAUGACCUAGGGUGCAGCCAGUUUGAGUGAACUAGCUGGUUCGAUGCACGUAUCAUUUCUGAGACAGGCCAGUAAGAGCGUCAUUUCGCCUACCCGAGGCUACGCGCGUGCGAAGGGCAAUGGCGUCGUUUCGUCUUCCCCAGCUGUCAAUGGUGGCAUUUGAUCUAAGCCGUUGAUUUGCCUUGAUCUGGGUCAUUGGGAACCCUAUAAAAGGGGAGUGAGGAGAAUUUUCACUUUGCCAUUUGCGAAAGGAGUCCUUAUAGAGCUCAGCGAGUAGUCUUCGGCUCGGUUGGUGCUUCGUUUAUUACCCUAUCGAUGUUUGUUUAUUACCCUAGAGAUUACCCUAUCGAUGUUCGUUUAUUACCCUAGAGAUUACCCUAUCGAUGUUCGUUUAUUACCUGCAAUUGAAGCAUCACCAUUUGGGGUAUUACUACUCGGCUCGGAAUCAUAACAAGGUGUUGGUUGGGGACCCGUCUUCGGUGAAGUGUUGGAAGGAGAAGUUCUUUGUGCACUACCUUGAAGACUGGUCGUUCCUUGUCGAGCUCCAAAAGCUAAUGACUAAGGUGAAGGCGUCCUUCUCGAUGUCAAUCUAUGCUGGGCUGAUGAGUGAGACUGGUCUGUGUCGUGUUAAUCUUUUCUGGGCUUUCUUUUAUUUACGAGCUCUUUACUUGGUGACUGACUUGGUGUUUGUCUUGCGCAUGUGUUGAAAUGGCCAUCAACAAGGACGUAGCUCGUUGUAUGAAUGCCGUGACAAAGAGAGUGUGUCUGGAAGGGCCCAGGGCACACAACCCCGGGUCCUUGAGACACAACUGUGGUCUGCGGAGCGAUCACUCCUUACCUCCGAGGGAGAACAUGUCAGAGAGCGGUACUGUCAACGUCUACUAGUCGCAAUGGAGGGGUCGGCUGAGUGAUGGGCUUGAAACAGAGGGCGUUCCCGAGAAGUUUGCUCGGGGUUUGUUUGUUGAUGCCCGCCAUCAAGCAAGAGGUCUUUGGCAUGACGAGCAGUUCCUUGGAGAGCAUGGCUUUGCGGCAGUUCGUGGCGAACGCUUGCUCGGUCGCCGGCUUGGUCGACCGCCUUCGGACACUGCGGCGCCUUUACGAGGAUGAGCAAUUGAGGUCUCAGGUUCUCAAGCUUGAGGCUGAGCUUUCCGAAUUAAGGCACAACAUAGAUGAGUAGAACGAUACCGUCCACAAACUGAAGAGCCACGUCACUGAGUUGAAGGAGGCAUGGGACGCCUUGAGUAAGGAGCUCGGGGAGGCCGAGGAGAAGGUUGCCCAGGUGGAGGAAUAUGCGGUCGCCAAAUACAAGGCCUCGAAGGACCAAUUCAACUUGGACGACUGGGCUACUUGCUCCUGGGAGGAGGGGUUCAACCUUUGCUGGAGGAGGAUUGUGCGCCGGCUCACUGAUGCUACUGAAGUCGCAGAGGGCUUGGACCUGUUUGAUCCCCUACGCCUGCCGAGGAGCACCCGACCGAGGGUUGAAGUAUUUGACUAGCGCUGCUACUUCUGUUGCCAAUCCUUUUUCUUCUCUCUUUUUUUGUAAUGUAUAUAGCUUGGUAUGUUGAGCCUUUUGACAUGCAAAUAUUUUUAAUCAAUAAAAAGAGAUCUUUUUUUGGCCCGA